UCUAUCUCAGGCCCAGGGAUUCAGCCACUGAAGCCGGCUUGGGGGCGGGGGGAGGGGCAUGGUAAUGUAUACACAAGUACUUAGCUUUUGCCAGGAGCACCGUUCUCCUCAAGUUCCGGAGGUGUGAGUAGGCUGUGUAGCUGGCUGCUUUUCCCUGAGGAAACUGCAGCCGAACGCUAGUACCAGCUUGUUGCUGCCGCCGCCACUGCCGUUCCAGGAAUGGUGCCUGAGGGCUCCCCAUGAUUCAGGCCCGGCAACUCCUCUCCACUUCUGAAUGGUCUCUUCCUACCCCUGCCCCUCUGAUCAUUGUCUAAGCUUACCUUUGAUGCACAGGGCUCCCAGCUUGUCACAAAUAUACUCGUUUCACUCAUUUUUUUGGGUCUUUGUUGUAAAGAGGGCUUGCUGGAAGUGUCUGUCUCUUCUGCCUCCUUGGUUGUGCCUCCUCACAGUGUUUUUGAGCAAGUAAUAUGAGAUAAUGAAUGAUGACCACCUACUGUACUGCCUGGCAUAUAACCAUAAAUCUUUCAUUCCUUGAAGGUUGUUGUGUUGUUUCCACGAAAAAAGCAUUUUGGAAAGAGACAUAAACAUGGAAAAGCUAGCUGAUGGACUGAGAAGAUGGCAUCUCAGCUCCUUCCUCCAUUGCCUUCUAAGAAGCUUGAACAAUUUGUGGAGCUAUUCACUUGUCUAGGGUAAUGGAUGCCUGGGUGAUGCAAAUGGUUAAGUGCUGGACUACAAACUGAAAGCCUCUUUUCUUCAAAGGAGUACAGACAUCAUCAAAGAAUUGGCUUUGGAAUCAGACUUGGGUUUGACUCUUGGGUGAGUUACCUAAUCUUCAGAUCCUUUGUUUUCUUAUUGUAAAUUAAAGCUAAACAUACACGUCAUAGGGAUGUCCUGAGAAUUAUAUUAGAAAUCAUUAAUCUAAAGGGGCAGGCAUGUAAUGAAUGCUCAAAUCUGGUUGGCGCCAUCCUCCCCCUCUUCCUCUUAUAGAAGGCCAGGUUUGCGGGGCUGCCCUCAAUGGUGGUGACCAGGAAUGUCUGUGCCACAUACAACUAUGGCAGGGGGCUUAGGUGGUCACAGUGGUGGUGGCAGCAGCAGCGAUAGCAGCAGCAGCAGGGCUUCCUUUGGCUGAAAAAGAAAGACUGCUGAUCCUGAAAAAGUCUGGGCUGUGCCUGCAGAGUACAGAAACCUCAAAAGAUGACUGAAGUCCUGAGGAAGCUAUUUUUAAAUGGCUUCCUGCUGUGAGACAAGCUUUAUGGGAAGGUUUAUUUCAGGCCCAUUGUAGCUUUCCACCUGCCCUCCUGCAUUCGUUUUGGUAUUUAUUCCCAUCUGCUGGUAAAAUGUGAAAGAGACUCCUUCCACACAGUGUUAGUAACCUUUGUGUUCGAGCACCAUGCAGAGGCUCAGGCCGAAACUGAGACCUGGGAGGAGGAAGAAGUUGUUUCUGGAACCGAAGAGAAAUGGGGCUUCUUAUUAAAGAAGGGGAAUGUUAUUUUUAGUCUCAGCAUGAGUUGUUUGGUUGUUCCUCCUCCUCAGGUCAGCUUCUCUUUUAAAGUGACUUUUUGGUAUGAGAAUGGUCGAGACCCGGAGAAUGGCAACAAUUCACCCUGCACCUAGGGCUUAAAACAUCAUUUUUUAAUUUGCUCAGGAAUCAGCAAUUUUCAGCAGGGCAGCUUGUCUCUGCUGCACACAGCAUCAGCUGAGGCAGUUCGAAGUCUAGAGGGAGCCACUCAAUGGCUGGGGCUGGAAUUAUUGGAAGGCUUGCUCAUACAUCCAGUGGCUGAUGCUGGCAAUGUCUGGGAUCUCUGUUAAGGCUGUUCGCCAAACACCCAUACAUAGCCUCUCCAUGUGGCUGCUUGGCUUCCACGCAUGGUAACUGCGUUCCAAAAGGAAUGAUCCAGGAGGACUGGGCAGAAGUUGUGCCAUACUUUAUGAUCUUACCUUGGAAGUCACUUAGCAUCACUUUAACAACUUGUCCCAGGACCACCUGGAUUCACAGCGAAGGAACACAGACCCCUCCCCUCAGCGACAGGAGUGUUCGAAGAAGAGUAAUUGGGAUGGGAGACCUUGCUGCGGCCAGUCUGAAAAUAACUAUUUGCUACAGAGAGGAACUGGCAGAGGAAUAGAGGAAUGGGCUUGUUGUCUGAGAAUUAAGGAAGAAGAAAGAGCUAUAUUUAUUUCACAGAUACAACUUUCAAAAGCUGGAAUAAUGGGAGUGGGGAAGUGAAGAAAUAGCAGUGUAACAGAAAACAGAAAAAGUAUUUUCUUUUAAAAAUAUUUCCUUUAUUUGGGACACACUGUAAAAUGAACUCAAACUAUUUCUACACCAGAGAAUAAAGUCUUGCUUAGAAAGGCUUUCCCUACUUUAACAUUAUUCAUUUAUGAUUUCUUGUCUAUUAUUUUUAUGGUUCAAUUUUUAUACAUCUGUAAAUUAUUUUGAUUAAAGGACCGAGGAGGGGGUUCAGAUUUUUUCCUCUAAGUGAUAACUAGAUGGAACACCUCCAUUUUUUGAACAGUCAUCUUUUCCUCAGUGAUUUGAAAUUCUACAUCAUCAAAUACUAUUGAUGUUGUUAGGUGCUGUUGAGUUGGUUCCAACUCAUAGCAACCCUAUCUAUGUACAACAGAACGAAACACUGCCUGGUCCUGCACCAUCCUCACAAUGGUUGUUAUGCGUGCACCCACUGUUACAGCCACUGAAUCAAUCCAUCUCAUUGAGGAGCUUCCUCUUUUUUGCUCACCCCCUACUCUACCAAGCAUGAUGUCCUUCUCCAGGGACUGGUCCCUCCUGAUAACAUGUCCAAAGUAUGUGAGAUGAAGUCUCGCCAUCUUUGCUUCUAAAGAGCAUUCUGGCUGUACUCCUUCCAAGACAGAUUUGUUCAUUCUUUUGUCUGUCCAUGGUAUAUUCAAUAUUCUCUGCUAACACUAGUAAUUCAAAGGCAUCAAUUCUUCUUCUAUCUUCCUUAUUCAUUUGUCCAGCUUUCAUAUGCAUAUAAGGUGACUGAAAAGACCAUGGCUUGGGCCAGAUGCACCUUAGUCUUCAAGGUGACAUCUUUGAUUUUGAACACUUCAGAGGUCUUUUGCAGCAUAUUUGCCCAAUGCAAUGUGUCUUUUGAUUUCUUGACUGCUGCUUCCAUGGGCCUUGAUUGUGGAUCCAAGUAAAAUGAAAUCCUUUACAGCUUCAAUCUUUUCUCCAUUUAUCUUGAUGUCUCUUAUUGGUCCAGUUGUGGAGAUUUUUAUUUUCUUUAUGUUGAGGUGUAAUCCAUAUUGAAGGCUGUAGUCUUUUAUCUUCAUCAGUAAGUGCUUAAGUCCUCUUCACUUUCAGCAAGCAAGGCUGUGUCAUCUGCAUAUUGCAGGUUGUUAAUGAGUCUUCCUCCAAUCCUGAAGCCCAGUUCUUCUUAUAGUCCAGCUUCUUGGAUUAUUUUCUCAGCAUACUGACUGGAUAAGUGUGGUGAAAGGGUACAGCCCUGACUUGAAACCAUGCAGUGUCUCCUUGUUCUAUUCGAAUGACUGCCUCUUGAUCUGUAUUCAGGUUCCUCAUGAGCACAAUGUUCUGGAAUUCCCAUUCUUUGAAAUGAUAUCCGUAAUUCGUUGAUUCACACAGUUGAAUGCCUCUACAUAGUCAAUAAAACAAGAGGUGAACAUCUUUCUGGUAUUUUCUGCUUUCAGCCAGGAUCCAUUUGGCAUCAGCAAUGAUAUCCCUCAUUCCACAUCCUCUCCUGAAUCUGGCCUUGAAUUUAUGGCAGUUCCCUGUCAAUGUACUGCUGCAGGCACGUUUGAAUGAUCUUCAGCAAAAUUUUACUUGUGUGCGAUAUUAGUGAUAUUGUUCGAUAAUUUUCACAUUCUGUUGGAUUACUUUUCUUUGGAAUGGACACAAAUAUGGAUCUCUUCCAGUUGGUUGGCCAGGUAGCUGUUUUCCAAAUUUUUUGGCACAGAUGAGUGAGCACUUCCAGCACUGCAUCCAUUUGUUGAAACAUCUCAAUUGGUAUUCCAUCAAUUCCUGGAGUCUUGUUUUUUGCCAGUGCCUUCAGUGCAGCUUGGACCUUUUCCCGAUCAUAUGCUAUCUCCUGAAAUGGUUGAACGUUGACCAAUUCUUUUUGAUAUCGUGACUGUGUGUUCCUUCCAUCUUCUUUUGAUGCAUCCUGUGUUGUUUAAUAUUUUCUCUGUAGAAUCCUUCAAUAUUGCAACUUGAGGCUUGAACUUUUUCUUCAUUUCUUUCAGCUUGAGAAAUGCCGAGCGUGUUCUUCUUUUGGGUUUCUAACUCCAUGUCUUUGCACAUGUCAUUAUAAUACUUUCGUCUUUUUGAGCCACCCUUUGAAAUCUUGUUCAGCUUUUUUAGUCAUAAAAUACUAAAUUCCUACAUAUCUUGGGGUCUAGUUCUUGACUCAAUUUUUAUUAUAAACCUUCCUAUCCUACCAUGAUAAUAUCCCAACUCAUAAGCUUUGGCGCUAGACAGACCACCUCAGAAACUGCUUAACUUUAGCCUACUUGAACUCUCUUUCAGUUUCUCAUUCUCUGUCAACUGGGGACAGUAAUUCUACAUACCUUCUUGGGUUAUUUUCAAGAUGAAAUGACUUAAUGUUUUGUGCAAAAUUGCUCAGCAUAAUUGGCAGCACUUGUGCUGGUUGGGUUCUCUGGGAAGUAGACUUGGAGAGGGAAAUUAGUGUGCACAAUGUUUGUGUGGGAGUGCCCUUGGGAUCUACACCUGUGGAAGGGAAGGGGUGACAGCAGGGCUGGGCAGAGGGAGAUGCUGCAACUCAGAUCCAAACAGCAGCCUCAGGCAACCUUGUGGGGAGCUCUAGAUCUCAAACAGCCUGUUAGAGUUUUCCCUUGUUGGACAACUUUAUACACCCACAUGGAUCAGUCAUUGUAGAUGGGCUACUGUUGCAAUGGGCAUGACCUGGCGGUGAGGUGGGUCUCUGCAGCUGAGGCAAUCUUUAAAGGAAUGGAUAGCCAGAGGCUGUUUGCAGAGUGAAUUCCCAGUGCCUGGGCCAACAAGUCCUUUGUUACAGAGGCAUCGUGGUUGUACGUUGCAUGUCCACCACAGCACCUCAUUCAAACACUUGAUUUUUUUCCUCUUCCUUAUUCCUAACUCUUUGAGUGAAGAGCAGUUCAGCAAGGCUUCACGUUGGAAAGCUCCUUGUCCAAGACCUCCUGUAUGCUGAAGUUUCAAUUCUUCGUCUAUCAUGGCAGCAUCAACAAGAUGGUGAGGAGGUAAAGUUUUGUGAGAGAUGUAGGACGGCGAGGCUAGAUAGCCUCAGUGAGAUGACCUGGGCAAGGAUUUGACAAACUGAAAGCUGUCAUCACAGCCUAAAAUACUUUUUUUUUUUUUGAUGUAUCUUUUUUUCAUUUCUGGGUCGAAAACUUGACUAUAAAGGAGAAUGUGAAUGUGCCUGAUAACCAGGUGAUGGAAUGAUCGCUGUGAUUAUAAUCAUCUUAGAAAAGUACUGGCAGAGAUCAAACAAGGUGAGGUCAUCAAUUUGCUUUUCCUUUUAUUAUAAAAGUAAAAUAAAAAAUAGCAUUUAUAAAUCCAACAUUUUUCCUUAAAGUAUUUGAUCUAAAAAACAUAUUUACAAUAGCAAAAUGCAGAAAAAGGGAAAAUACCAUUUUCAGCACUGAUUGUAACCAUGUUUAAAUAUUGACAUGUACAUUUUUUUUUUCAAAUCACAGAGCUAAAACCACAUUCAAAAAAGCAAUAAGCCUUUUUUUUUUUUUUAAAUUGUACACUGAAUGACUUUCAUUUAAAAAUAUCCCUUUUCUUAAUCCUUAAUCUGAAUGCACGACUGUGCUGUGGACAGCUGGAAAGGACACCGGUUGGGGACUCUGACACCUUUUAAUGCAAGUUGGGACACAGCAGAGGGACAGCAGCAACGACGGCAGAAAGCAACUGUAAUCCAUUAGCAGCUGGUAAAGCUCAAAAAGCUACCUCACCCCCAACGAUGCUUCAGCCCAGCCGAGUGCUGUGAACGCUAGAGACUACCUGUAGGUGAACCGAAUUAAAAGUCAUGUAAGAACCAGGAAAGGAAGCCAGUUUAAAAGGCUUUGAAUUAAAUCCGCAGUGAUUCGGGCAGGCUGGUUUUCCUCUGAGCACCUCUGGAUGCACUUUACCUUACUUCUUUUGGACAAUGCAGUGGAACUUCAGGACUUUGGUUUUGCACAGUGUUGAAAAUCACCAGCAGGUUAAACAUUGCCUUCUAUGGAUCCCUGCUGUCCAUAAUUGUGGGGCAUUUUGUUCAGAGUUAGCAAUGAGCUGCUGCUGGUCAGAGACUCUGUGAAGCUGAGUUUGCGGAAAGAGGUCUCCACGCCGCUGUCACAGAUGCUUUCGUUGUCUCGGAGCUCAUCUGAGGGGAGAAAGCACAAAUUCACUGGGGGCACACAGCUGGGAGCAAGGCAAAGGCAUUGUUCUCACACAUUUUACACUCCAGUUGGGCUCAGAUUUGGACCUAAAAGGCAUAUCCGGAUUACACUUGCCCCUUAUACGUUCCACCAAUCACUACAUCCCACCUACGCAGCCCCCUGCUCACUACCUACUGUUCACAUGGUGGGAGGGGCAGAAAUAGAAAUAUAAUGUAAUUAUUACAUUAAUGUAAAAUUGUUAUUAAUAUAAAUUUAUAAUAUUAACAUGAAAUUAUAUUAUUAACAUAAAAACUGUGGCAGCAUCAGAAUUAGCCACCUGUUUUCACAUCUUCUCUUGCAAUCUAGCUGUAGCGGUUGCACUGUGUCCCCUCGAAUUCAUGUCCAGCCAAAAGCUCAGAAUGUGACCUUACUGGGAAAUAGGGUCUUUGAGAUGUAAUUAUUCAAGAUGAGGGCAUACCAGAUUACAGUGGGCCCUAAAUCCAGUGAGGCUGGGUCCUUAAAAGAAGAGGAGAUUUGGAUAUAGAGACACAGGACAGACACAGCACACUCGGAGGGAAGGAGGCCAUGUGAAGAUGGAAACUGGAGUCAUGCUGUUAUAAGUCAAGGAACACCAGGAAUUGCUGACAAUCUCUAGACACUAAAAAUAGGCAAGGAAGGAUUCCUCCCUUGGAGCCUUCGAAGGAGCAUGGCCCUGCUGACAUCCUGAUUUUGGAUUUCUGCCCCCCAGAACUUAGAAGAGAGACCUCAGCGCAUUACCCAAUGAUUACAGAGCAUACACAAAAGGAGGAAAAAUUAAUCAUCUCACUUCUACCACCUCGGGGCCUCUGUGUUCUCCUUCUAUGGACAAACUAUUCCAAAUGAUCUUUAAAGGAAUCAGCUAUCGUGAGCAACGGAAAUAUCCGGGAGAGAUGAUGGACUCCAGGUGACUAAGGUAAGCAUUUUUGGGUGCAAAAUCAAAUAACAUGCCUUUAUCAGAUCCCUGGCAGUUAUUGAGAAAGAUGGCAGAGUUAUACCACUACACGUGAAUGUCUCUUACCUUCCCCGUUAGGCUGGUUGAUAAGUAGUGCUGCCUGUUUGUGCUUGAGUAAGACACUGAGAAUUUUAUCAUGUCCUUCUUUGGCAGCUAGGUGUAAAACAGAGUUACCCAGGCGGUCCAGGAGACUCAGGUCAGCCCCGGCCCUCAGCAAGUCCUCCACCACAUCUUCUUGCUUGGUAAUCACUGCUAAGUGCAAGGGUGUCUG